CUACGGGCGGCACCAGUGGGGAAUAUUGCACAAUGGGCGCAAGCCUGAUGCAGCCAUGCAGCGUGUAUGAAGAAGGCCUUCGGGUUGUAAAGUACUCUCAGCGGGGAGGAAGGGAGUAAAGUUAAUACCUUUGCUCAUUGACGUUACCCGCAGAAGAAGCACCGGCUAACUCCGUGCCAGCAGCCGCGGUAAUACGGAGGGUGCAAGCGUUAAUCGGAAUUACUGGGCGUAAAGCGCACGCAGGCGGUUUGUUAAGUCAGAUGUGAAAUCCCCGGGCUCAACCUGGGAACUGCAUCUGAUACUGGCAAGCUUGAGUCUCGUAGAGGGGGGUAGAAUUCCAGGUGUAGCGGUGAAAUGCGUAGAGAUCUGGAGGAAUACCGGUGGCGAAGGCGGCCCCCUGGACGAAGACUGACGCUCAGGUGCGAAAGCGUGGGGAGCAAACAGGAUUAGAUACCCUUGUAGUC
rnacentral:rRNA from 1 species